rnacentral:sRNA from 1 species
AAGGAAGCAAGGAAGCGCAGGCUUGAUGGCCUGUUUUCCAGACGGAGCAAACAGUCCGGGGCAGAGAUGGCGGCGGGCGAGCCCUUUCCCCGGCAUUUGGUGCAUUUAACAGCGCAGUCUGAGCCAGGCCUCUGUCCCCUGCCUCCUGGGAGUCCCCUCCUAGCCCUGGUCCUUGGAGUGGCUUCUGGCCAGAGAGAGCUGCUGCCCGAAGCCGGGGCUCUUAUGGCCAGAUGAGAAGUGAGCUUCCUCAAAACACAGUUGGAAACAGGCUGGCUGUCAUCAGCCACGCGGAUGCCAUGAACCCCACAUGACCAGCCCACUGUCUGCUGUGUCUCCUCAGGAGCAGGACAUCGAGACUUUACAUGGCUCUGUUCACGUCACGCUGUGUGGGACUCCCAAGGGAAACCGGCCUGUCAUCCUCACCUACCAUGACAUCGGCAUGAACCACAAAACCUGCUACAACCCCCUCUUCAACUACGAGGACAUGCAGGAGAUCACCCAGCACUUUGCCGUCUGCCACGUGGACGCCCCUGGCCAGCAGGAUGGCGCAGCCU